rnacentral:sRNA from 1 species
UGAACCCUGCAUCCUGCCCACGACCCCCCAGAAACACCUACGCACCACCCUCCUGGCAGCCUCAGCCCCGCCAGCCUCGCCGCGAGGAACCCCAGCGCCGCGGCAGAACCACGGCACUUCCGCCCGCCUCCCGCCCCUCGGGCGCAAGCGUUUGGUGUGUCUGCGUCGGGGGCGGAGCCUCUUGUCCCUCUGCGCGGCCCGUUCCGCCUCUCUUCUCCCACCGCCUGUCGGCUGACGUGUCUUCAGUUCCUCCGCGUCUACUGCGAGUCAGGCCGUGAUGGCGGACGCCUGGGAAGAGAUUAGGCGGUUGGCGGCCGACUUCCAGCGGGCGCAGUUCGCCGAGGCCACGCAGAGAUUUGAAGAUUGGAAGCAGGCCUGUAAGAGACAACAGACUUGAAAUUUGUGAUGGGAUGAUGUGUACCAAUUAAAUAAAUGAUUUAAGCAUAUGUAAACCUA